rnacentral:lncRNA from 1 species
GUCUAUUUUGUUUUCAUCUCUAUUUUUAGUGGCUAUCAGUUUUUAUCCUAGAAAGCGUUAGUUUGUGCUUUCUCUGGAAACAGUUUAUUGGCAAAAGGUCGAUGCAUGUCCUUAAUUUAAAAAUUAUUGGAGAAAUUUGGUGGCUUCCUGACACUGUAUAACAGAAUUUUUUAAAUGACAAAGCCCUGGAGGUGGGGGAAAUUAGCUCUCAGGAUAAAGAAAACCUAAUUCUUAUUAUUGUACUUUGUAUUCUGACACUGUUUGGGUGGCUUAUUAUUAUUUUUUUGGUUGUUUUUGUGAAAUAAAUGCAUUUUCAGUUCCACUUCUGGCAUAGCUAGAUUCACUCUCAGUGAAGGUCGGAACCCUGUUAGCUUUCUCUGUUGAUGUUGUUAUUCUGUGGUCCAUUUAUCUAGUAAUAAUACAUAGUAGGAAAAGGCCAGUUACAAUUAAUCUGCAUUAAACAGGUACGAAAAGAGCAAGAAAAUGGUGGGGGAAGUGAACAGAACUUUAUGUAGGAACAGGAAAUAUAAAAUGUGACCACAUUUGAAAUGUAAUUAAGAAUAUUGUAGGUUACAGUUGUAACUGCUAAUUCUUAGCAUGGAUGCAUUGUAUCCUGCUGAAUUUUCCUUUGUUGGCAUAAUAUUGCUGCCAACAUUUUAUAAUAGCACUUUGACUUUUCCAGUUAAAAGGGCAGUUUAACAAAAAUAUUUGAAGACUUUAGUUUCUCCAGUAGUAUUUGGUUUUUGUUCAUUUUUAAAGUUCGGUAUUCAGAUUGUUCCCUUUCAAAGUGGGGAGUUUUGUCAGAUAUGUUACAUUUUUCUCAGUUGCUGACUAGCAGACCUCUUUCAGAGGCUUGUUUACCACCAGCAUCACUUCGUCAUCAUUUUCAUCAGCCCUGUGAAGUCCUGUAUUUUUGCAGUCAUGUUAAUGGCAUCCAAGGUAAAAACCAAUGACAGCAUAGAGGGCAUGUAUUAGGUGGGAAGAAAUGUUUAAAUGAGGGCUGGUAUGAACAUUGUCAGUUUAUUGGUGAAUAUCAUAAUGUCUAUAUUCCUGUAACCUUGGAUUGUUUGGGAAUUAGAUCCUAAAUAUUCAGAAGAUAGGAACCUCUAUGUUUAUAUUAGUAUUUUCUUUAUUUUCCCAACAUUUGUUAGAGAGAGAGAGAGAGAGGGAGUGGAGAGGGGUAGAAGGAGGAGAGAGAAUCUCAAGCAGAUUCCACACUGAGUCCAGAGCCCAACAUGGGGCUCAAUCUCAUGACCCAGAGACCAUGACCUGAGCCAAGAUCAAGAGUUGGAUGCUUAAUCAAGUCAGCCACCCAGACACCUCUGUAUUACUAUAUUCAAUGACUAGGCUUUUAUGAACUAAUUUGAAGUCUUUUACCUAUCUUAGUUAAUUGAAUAUAUGACUUGAGAUAAUUAUAGUUGUGUAGUAGAAAUUUUCCAAACACAAUGGUGAUAAGCAAUACUGCGAAGGUUAAUAGCAAAGCUCUGACAAGCUUAGCCUGUGCAGCACUGGCACAGCCUUAUGAAAACAAUUAUGCAAAAAUAAUAAUCCUGUUGCAACUUCAAAUCCAGGUGCAUAAAAAUAUUAAUUGAUUUUUUUUCUUUCAGUAGUGCUAAGUUGCCAGUGGAAACUGCCCAUGGGCCACAUGAGAGACCACGGAUCCUGUAAUGCUGGGAGGCAUAAAGCUGGCACAGAAGUGCUGCAGAGAGGCUGUCACCAGUUAGAGGGAAGGAGCCAGAGAAGCAAGAGGUGUGGCAACAGCCAAGGGUCUUCAAAGGUAGAUGGACUGUGCACUCCCUUCCUGAAUGGGAGACCAGCACAGAGACCUUGGGGGCACGCCCUGCCCAGCCCUGCCCAGCCUCGCCCAGGCUCCAGCCGGAGGCUCCGCCCCAGGCCAUGGCCUUCCACUUGCUCACGUGACCAUGCCACAGGCAUGCAGAGAGGCAGGCUGAGCUCUGCCAGGCCAGCAGGGUCCGUGCCAGGCCUGGUGGACUUCGAGGACAAGGAGCAGGUGAAGGCCUUUCUGGAGAACGUGGUGGAGUGCAAGUACCAGUGCUACUGUGAGAAGGACCCGAAUGGUGAGUGCUGGCAGAGCAGCCUGCGAACACGAGGAGAUGCAUGGGGAUGGGCGGGGGCUGCAGGGGCCACGAGCCACCUCUGAAGGAGAUCCAGAAGGGGUCUCUGGUCUAGGUAAGUUGGUGGGGCCAGGUGCUUGAGGACCCCUAAUCCUCUGCCAUCUGCCCCAUCCCCCAACUGAGUCAGAUUCAUUUAAUUUUUUAAGGCCAGUAAAAAAUGAGUAAUUUUGUAGGAAAACGGUGUUUACUGUAACUGACAAAGGAAGAGAUAGAAAACCUAAAUGGAGAAAUUUCCAUACACCACCCACAAGAAAUAAAGUUGGGGGAUGAAGCUGCCCUCCAUAAUGUAUCUGAUCCUCCUGGUUUCCCAUGGGAAUGCCAUCAAACACUUAAAGAAAAGAUUACUUUAGUGGCAUUGAGAUUUGAGAGCAUAGAAAAAGAUUGAAACUUUCCACAGUGUAAAAAAAAAAGCGAAAGCAGUGUAACACUGAUAUUAUGACCCCAUAAAGACAGGACCAGGAGAAAAAAAGCCAACUUCAGUUGCGAGAACUAAUGAGGAAAGUCUCAGUAAGAUAUCAUCAAUGGAUUCCACGGCACAUUAAGUGACCCAAAUAUCUAGCCAAGUGAGGCCCCUUUUGGGAAAGCCACGAUGAGAUGGCUAGUAUUUGGAAAUUUAUAAAUAAAUUCUGUAAAUAGAAUUCCCAUAUUACCUGGUCACACCCGGAAAACACUAUUGGUACAUAUGGUAGAAAAUAUUUUGUGAGAUUGAACAUUAAUUACUUGAAGUAAUUUUUACUUUCAUACCAACUUCAUAUUUAAAAUUAUGUCCUGGAGUAAAACACAUAUCAUCAUAGGGUUACCAGCAUUUGGAAAUUCUGGGAGAGCAUUUAAAAACUCCUGAUACAAUACAACGUCCCAGGGUUGGCAGGGUAGGGGUACGCACUCAACUCACUUGGGUGAAGAUGGAAAGAUGAUGAUGUGGAAAGAGGGGCUCCUUGUUUAUAAAAGACCCUCAGAAGAAGGAAAUGAAGUGGAGAAGAAUGUCUUUAUUUGGGGCAUAUAAUGUUUAAGUUGUAAUUAUGGUACAGAAUCAAUACAAAUUCAUCUGGAAAAA